UACGAAGGGGGCUAGCGUUGUUCGGAAUUACUGGGCGUAAAGCGCGCGUAGGCGGACGUUUAAGUCAGGGGUGAAAUGCCGGGGCUCAACCUCGGAACUGCCUUUGAUACUGGACGUCUGGAGUUCGGGAGAGGUGAGUGGAAUUCCGAGUGUAGAGGUGAAAUUCGUAGAUAUUCGGAAGAACACCAGUGGCGAAGGCGACUUACUGGACACAUAUUGACGCUGAGGAGCGAAAGCGUGGGGAGCGAACAGG
rnacentral:rRNA from 1 species